rnacentral:rRNA from 1 species
UGCGGUUAUACAAAAAUUAAAAUAAAUUUUUUUUAGAAAUUAAUAAAUUAUAAAUAUAUUUAUAUAUAUAUAUAAAUUAAUAAUUUAAAUUUUAAUUUAUUAAGUAAAAUUUUAAUUUAAUUAAAAAUUAUUUUUAUGAAAUUAAUAAAUUUUAUUUAUAAACUAGGAUUAGAUACCCUAUUAUUAAAAAAUUAAAAUUAACAAUACUAAAAUAUUAGAUUUUUAUUGAAACUUAAAUAAUUUGGCGGUAUUUUAGUUUAUUUAGAGGAAUCUGUCUAAUAAUUGAUAAUCCACGAAUAAAUUUACUUAAUUUAUUAUUUUGUAUAUCGUUGUUAAAAAAAUAUUUUUGAAUAAUAAAUAAUAUUUUAAAAUUUUAAAAUAAAAUUAAAUCAAAUCAAGAUGCAGAUUAUAAUUAAGAAUAUGAUGGAUUACAAUAAAUUUAUUUAAAUGAAAAUUGAAAUGUAAAAUUUAAUUGAAAGUGGAUUUAAAUGUAAUUUUUUUUUAAUUUAUAAUAAUGAUUAAUAAUUAAAAUAUGUACAUAUUGCCCGUCGCUUUCAUUUAAAAGUUGGAAUAAGUCGUAACAAAGUAGAGGUACUGGAAAGUGUUUCUAGAAAGAA